rnacentral:rRNA from 1 species
CGCAUCUGUGCAUGCAGCAUAUCAAUAAGCGGAGGAAAAGAAACUAACAAGGAUUCCCCUAGUAACGGCGAGUGAAGCGGGAAGAGCUCAAAUUUGAAAUCUUAAAGGGUUUCCCUUUACGAAUUGUAGUUUGAAGAAGUGUUUUCUGUUGAGGUUUUGGUAAAAGUUCUUUGGAAUAGGACAUCAUAGAGGGUGAGAAUCCCGUAUUUGACCUUUACUUUCAACUUUGUGAUACACUUUCAAAGAGUCGGAUUGUUUGGGAAUGCAGUCCAAAAUGGGUGGUAAAUCUCAUCUAAAGCUAAAUAUUGGCGAGAGACCGAUAGCGAACAAGUACCGUGAGGGAAAGAUGAAAAGAACUUUGAAAAGAGAGUUAAACAGUACGUGAAAUUGUCAAAAGGGAAGCGUUUGACACCAGUGUUGUUUUUCUGAAAAUCAAUUAAAGAACUGUUUAUGCUAAGCUGUUUAGACUUUAUCAGCUAACUGUUUAGUUUUGAGCUUUUCUUUAAUGCACUUUUCAGUUAACAAGUCAACAUCAAUUUCUUUUGCUGUAAAAAAGCUUGAGGAAGGUGGCUUGAGAUUCGUCUUAAGUGUUUAUAGCCUCUUGCCUAUGCAGUCGGAGAGAUUGAGGUCUGCAGCGUAGAUCCUUCGGGGCUAAAUGCAUUUGUGCUAAGUUAUAACAUUUUAUAGACAACUUGUUGACUAUGAUUUGUCUUGUAGCUUACUCGCUUAUGUUAUUUUACCUACGCUUAGGAUGUUGAACGCGCACAGAGUCUC